AGUGAACGCUGGCGGUAGGCCUAACACAUGCAAGUCGAACGGCAGCACAGUAAGAGCUUGCUCUUACGGGUGGCGAGUGGCGGACGGGUGAGGAAUACAUCGGAAUCUACUUUUUCGUGGGGGAUAACGUAGGGAAACUUACGCUAAUACCGCAUACGACCUACGGGUGAAAGCAGUGGAUCUUCGCACCUUGCGCGAUUGAAUGAGCCGAUGUCGGAUUAGCUAGUUGGCGGGGUAAAGGCCCACCAAGGCGACGAUCCGUAGCUGGUCUGAGAGGAUGAUCAGCCACACUGGAACUGAGACACGGUCCAGACUCCUACGGGAGGCAGCAGUGGGGAAUAUUGGACAAUGGGCGCAAGCCUGAUACAGCCAUACCGCGUGGGUGAAGAAGGCGUUCGGGUUGUAAAGCCCUUUUGUUGGGAAAGAAAAGCAGCAGGUUAAUACCCCGCUGUUCUGACGGUACCCAAAGAAUAAGCACCGGCUAACUUCGUG
rnacentral:rRNA from 1 species